AAUACAAUUUUCCUUUGAAAAAUUUCAUUUUCAAGUAGAAAAUCCUCACAGUUUGUGGGGGAUUGGAAAGUCUCCAGUCAGAUUUUUUCUUUUUUCUUUUUUUUUUUUUUUAAGAAAAGCAACAUGAAAAGAGCAAUGACUUUCUUGCUGAAAAUAAGCAAAGACUGACAUUAAAGUGCAGCUUUGAGAAAGCCAUUCUGGAUUUCUGUCUAGCAUACCACAAUAACUGAAAUCUGCAUCUUAUGUUAGCUGUCUUUCUUUUCUUUUUUUCAACUUUUUUACUUCUAUAACUACCCUCUUAUUUUUCUUUUUUUCCUUAUGCAUUUUAUUUUUUAAAUUUUAAUUGUAUGUCAGCAUUUCAUUAUUCUUUUAAAUCCUUCCCUUCCUCACUCAUAAUUUUAAAACUCUCUACAUUUAUUUGACUACUUUUUUUCUUCAUUUUUUUCUUUCUUUAUCCUCUUUUGUUCAUCUGUUCUUUAAUCUAUUUUUUUUUGCAUAAGCUCCAUUUUUAGAAAUCCUGAAAUUCUCCAGUUUCUGGUAUGCUCUUCUUUCCCCAUGGAAGAUGGAUAGUCAAGGUAGACAGGAGACUACUCUCUUGGUCUCUGCUUGCACAAGGACAUUGGGUUUGUGUGGCAAGGGUGUGGUAGCAGGGGGGCUAUAGAGGUAGCUUCUGCAAGAAACUGCCAGAAGCUUCCCCUGUGUCCAGUGGAUUCAAUGAUGGUGGGCUCUAAGGCUCUAAGGCAAGGCCAAGCCCUUGGAGUUAGCGCCUUGGGGAUAACAUAGUUAAGAAGAGGGAAAAGUUACUGACAGCAGCAAUUGCAGCCAGAGAAAGGAGUGAGAAUAUAUGAGGGAAACAGCCCUGCAGACCCUAAGGACAGUGAAGAAAAAAACAAACAAAACAUAAAAGAUCUGUUGCUUUGAAUACAAGAAGCACUGUUUCUCUGCAAGUGUUUUCUACAAGGGAAAGUUGCAAGGGCAGCAUUUGUGAGCUUUAAAUGAUGAGUGCAGAACUGCCUAUCUUCCCCAAUCAAUGAUUCUUUCAGUGAAUAUGAUCAUGAAGGAAACUGAAUUCCUAUGCUAAUUGGGCUUUAUGAAGGAAGCUGGAGGCAGUUCUCAUUAGUCUCACUGACAUCUUUUAUCACUUAUCAGAGGAACAAGCAAACGGAGAGCAAUUCCUUUGAUCAUGGCAAAAGUAGAAAGAGUAUUAAAAACCCUAUGAAGAUUCACUAAGUAGAAAGUAGAAAAGACAGUCUGUGGCAUGUUUCAAAGAAGUAACAUGAUUUAAAGUUGCCAGAUUUACUGGUAUAUAUUAAAGAAUUGUUAAUGAUACUACAUUUUACAUGCAUCCUUAGGUCCUU